rnacentral:misc_RNA from 1 species
AACUGAUACUACCUGCGGGAACCUGCGGAGGGAUCAUUAUUGAUUAAAUCUGGUCAGGCUCGCUGCUGGCUUUUCGGAGUAUGUGCACGCCUGUCCAUUUUUAUUUAACCACCUGUGCACUCCUUGUAGAUCUGAAAUUUUACUCAGGUUCAUCAACCUGGUUAGAGGAAUUGCUAUAUAAUAGCUGUCCUUGAAUUUCAGACCUAUGUCUUUAAUAUACACCAUAAAUAUAUUAGAAUG